GCUAACGUAGCUUAAUUAAAGCACGGCACUGAAGAUGCCGAGAAGAGCCCUAAAAAGCCCCGAUAGCA
rnacentral:tRNA from 1 species